rnacentral:lncRNA from 1 species
CAAGAGCCAGGGCUCUCCUUUAUAUAGAGUGGGAACUGCAUAGGGGAAGGACUUAAAGCAAUCUUUGGAGUUUCCCAGUUCCACCUGCCUUCUGCAGAAGGAAACCAUCCAAACAAGACACAAGACCUGCGUGAUGCCUAAUAGGAUACGUGGCAUACGAUGAGAGGAACAACACUGCCCUGCACUUGGGGGAAUUCUUAGAGAAGAGAAACGUUUUGCAGGGAAGGAAUUC